GAUGAACGCUGGCGGCGUGCCUAAUACAUGCAAGUCGAGCGGACCGGAUUGGGGCUUGCCUUGAUUCGGUCAGCGGCGGACGGGUGAGUAACACGUGGGCAACCUGCCCGCAAGACCGGGAUAACUCCGGGAAACCGGAGCUAAUACCGGAUAACACCGAAGACCGCAUGGUCUUCGGUUGAAAGGCGGCCUUUGGGCUGUCACUUGCGGAUGGGCCCGCGGCGCAUUAGCUAGUUGGUGAGGUAGCGGCUCACCAAGGCGACGAUGCGUAGCCGGCCUGGGAGGGUGACCGGCCAACCUGGGACUGAGACACGGCCCAGACUCCUACGGGAGGCAGCAGUAGGGAAUCUUCCGCAAUGGGCGAAAGCCUGACGGAGCGACGCCGCGUGGGCGAAGAAGGCCUUCGGGUCGUAAAGCUCUGUUGUGAGGGACGAAGGAGCGCCGCUCGAAGAGGGCGGCGCGGUGACGGUACCUCACGAGAAAGCCCCGGCUAACUACGUGCCAGCCGCCGCCGUAA
rnacentral:rRNA from 1 species